rnacentral:lncRNA from 1 species
UGCAUUCUUGUGCAUAUUAAGGGUUGAUUUAAAGUUCAAAACUAGUUUUACAUGUUUGUUUUUACAUGUUUGUUUUUUACAUUUUUUUCAUGUUUUACAUGUUUGUUUCAGGCUCUGCACUCAUGAUGACUCAGACCCAAUAGUGUGUCUUCCAGAAUGUUACAUAAAGAGUGGUAACACCCAUCUCAUCACUAUCUCCUUUCCUGGGAAUAGAGGGAUUGAUUUCAGUUGGUGAAGUUGGUACCUGGUCUUUGUGUUGAGAGGCUGAUUGAUGGCCAAAAGAAUCCGUUCUCUUCAACCCUGCCUUAAGGAAAAAUCAGCUACCACAAUAGGAAUAUAAAGCUUAUAAACCCAUGAGACAUGUGAUGGAAGAAAUAACACAGAGGCUGGAAGUGAAACUUUUAGAAGGUGGAAAGCACAUGAAAGAGUACAAAAGACCAGCAGAGUAUGAGAAAAGAAAUCUACCUGACUGAACAGGGAGAUAAUGAGAAAUACACCAACCUGCCCUGCCAAAUUUUGAAAAGGUUCAGAAUUUGGAGGCUCUAGAUAACAGAAGAAGGAGAUGAAACUUGGAAUGCAAAGCACAGUGCAUCAUGGGAGUGAGAAAGUACAAAGUCAUCUAAGAGUAUUAAAUCUCAGCUUUCAAGAGAAGGAAGGCACAGAUGAGAAAGUAUCUACUUACCAAAGCAUUCUCUGUGAGUAA